rnacentral:rRNA from 1 species
AUUGCACGCUAGCGGGAUGCCUUACACAUGCAAGUCGAACGGAGUGGCGAACGGGUGAGUACUGUAUCGGAACGUGCCCAGUAGCGGGGGAUAACUACGCGACAGCGUAGCUAAUACCGCAUACUACUGGAGCGGCCGAUAGCGGAUUGGCUAGUGGGUGGGGUAACGGCUCACCAAGGCCAAGACCCGUAGCUGGUUUGAGAGGAAGACCAGCCACACUGGGACUGAGACACGUCCCAGACUCCUACGGGCGGCAGCAGUGGGGAAUUGUGGAAAAUGGGGGAAACCAUGAUCCAGCCAUCCCGCGUGUGCGAUGAAGGCCUUCGGGUUGUAAAGCACUUUUGGCAGGAAAGCGGUACCUGCAUAAUAAGCACCGGCUAACUACGUGCCAGCAGCCGCGGUAAUUC